rnacentral:rRNA from 1 species
ACUCCUACGGGAGGCACUUCAGGGUGGAAUAUUGCACAAUGGGCGCAAGCCUGAUGCAGCCAUGCCGCGUGUGUGAAGAAGGCCUUCGGGUUGUAAAGCACUUUCAGUCGUGAGGAAGGUAGUGUAGUUAAUAGCUGCAUUAUUUGACGUUAGCGACAGAAGAAGCACCGGCUAACUCCGUGCCAGCAGCCGCGGUAAUACGGAGGGUGCGAGCGUUAAUCGGAAUUACUGGGCGUAAAGCGCAUGCAGGUGGUUUGUUAAGUCAGAUGUGAAAGCCCGGGGCUCAACCUCGGAAUUGCAUUUGAAACUGGCAGACUAGAGUACUGUAGAGGGGGGUAGAAUUUCAGGUGUAGCGGUGAAAUGCGUAGAGAUCUGAAGGAAUACCGGUGGCGAAGGCGGCCCCCUGGACAGAUACUGACACUCAGAUGCGAAAGCGUGGGGAGCAAACAGGAUUAGAUACCCUGGUAGCUACGAGU